rnacentral:rRNA from 1 species
UAGGGAAUCUUCGGCAAUGGGGGGAACCCUGACCGAGCAACGCCGCGUGAGUGAAGAAGGUUUUCGGAUCGUAAAGCUCUGUUGUUAAGGAAGAACGAGUGUGAGAAUGGAAAGUUCAUGCUGUGACGGUACUUAACCAGAAAGGGACGGCUAACUACGUGCCAGCAGCCGCGGUAAUACGUAGGUCCCGAGCGUUGUCCGGAUUUAUUGGGCGUAAAGCGAGCGCAGGCGGUCAAUUAAGUCUGAUGUGAAAGCCCCCGGCUCAACCGGGGAGGGUCAUUGGAAACUGGUUGACUUGAGUGCAGAAGAGGAGAGUGGAAUUCCAUGUGUAGCGGUGAAAUGCGUAGAUAUAUGGAGGAACACCAGUGGCGAAGGCGACUCUCUGGUCUGUAACUGACGCUGAGGCUCGAAAGCGUGGGUAGCAAACAGG